AAAGGAAUAGACGGGGGCCCGCACAAGCAGCGGAGCAUGUGGUUUAAUUCGAAGCAACGCGAAGAACCUUACCAAGGCUUGACAUCCUACUAAAGCUGUGGAAACACAGUGUCCCUUCGGGGGAGUAGAGACAGGUGGUGCAUGGUUGUCGUCAGCUCGUGUCGUGAGAUGUUGGGUUAAGUCCCGCAACGAGCGCAACCCUUAUUACUAGUUACCAGCGGAUAAAGCCGGGAACUCUAGUGAGACCGCCGGGGAUAACUCGGAGGAAGGUGGGGACGACGUCAAAUCAUCAUGCCCCUUAUGUCUUGGGCUACACACGUGCUACAAUGGCCACUACAGAGGGCAGCGAAGUCGCAAGGCGAAGCAAAUCUCAGAAAAGUGGUCCCAGUUCGGAUUGUGGGCUGCAACCCGCCCACAUGAAGUCGGAGUUGCUAGUAAUCGCGAAUCAGCAUGUCGCGGUGAAUACGUUCCCGGGCCUUGUACACACCGCCCGU
rnacentral:rRNA from 1 species